rnacentral:rRNA from 1 species
UUAAGCGACUAAGCGUACACGGUGGAUGCCCUGGCAGUCAGAGGCGAUGAAGGACGUGCUAAUCUGCGAAAAGCGUCGGUAAGGUGAUAUGAACCGUUACAGCCGGCGAUGUCCGAAUGGGGAAACCCAGUGCAAUUCGUUGCACUAUCGUUAACUGAAUACAUAGGUUAACGAGGCGAACCGGGGGAACUGAAACAUCUAAGUACCCCGAGGAAAAGAAAUCAACCGAGAUUCCCCCAGUAGCGGCGAGCGAACGGGGAGCAGCCCGGAGUCUGAAUCAGCUUGUGUGUUAGUGGAAGCGUCUGGAAAGUCGCAGGGUACAGGGUGAUACUCCCGUACACUAAAACGCACAGGCUGUGAACUCGAAGAGUAGGGCGGGACACGUGGUAUCCUGUCUGAAUAUGGGGGGACCAUCCUCCAAGGCUAAAUACUCCUGACUGACCGAUAGUGAACCAGUACCGUGAGGGAAAGGCGAAAAGAACCCCGGCGAGGGGAGUGAAAAAGAACCUGAAACCGUGUACGUACAAGCAGUAGGAGCCCACUAGUUGGGUGACUGCGUACCUUUUGUAUAAUGGGUCAGCGACUUAUAUUCUGUAGCAAGGUUAACCGAAUAGGGGAGCCGCAGGGAAACCGAGUCUUAACUGGGCGUUAAGUUGCAGGGUAUAGACCCGAAACCCGGUGAUCUAGCCAUGGGCAGGUUGAAGGUUGGGUAACACUAACUGGAGGACCGAACCGACUAAUGUUGAAAAAUUAGCGGAUGACUUGUGGCUGGGGGUGAAAGGCCAAUCAAACCGGGAGAUAGCUGGUUCUCCCCGAAAGCUAUUUAGGUAGCGCCUCGUGAACUCAUCUUCGGGGGUAGAGCACUGUUUCGGCUAGGGGGUCAUCCCGACUUACCAACCCGAUGCAAACUACGAAUACCGAAGAAUGUUAUCACGGGAGACACACGGCGGGUGCUAACGUCCGUCGUGAAGAGGGAAACAACCCAGACCGCCAGCUAAGGUCCCAAAGUCAUGGUUAAGUGGGAAACGAUGUGGGAAGGCCCAGACAGCCAGGAUGUUGGCUUAGAAGCAGCCAUCAUUUAAAGAAAGCGUAAUAGCUCACUGGUCGAGUCGGCCUGCGCGGAAGAUGUAACGGGGCUAAACCAUGCACCGAAGCUGCGGCAGCGACACUAUGUGUUGUUGGGUAGGGGAGCGUUCUGUAAGCCGUUGAAGGUGGCCUGUGAGGGUUGCUGGAGGUAUCAGAAGUGCGAAUGCUGACAUAAGUAACGAUAAUGCGGGUGAAAAACCCGCACGCCGGAAGACCAAGGGUUCCUGUCCAACGUUAAUCGGGGCAGGGUGAGUCGACCCCUAAGGCGAGGCCGAAAGGCGUAGUCGAUGGGAAACAGGUUAAUAUUCCUGUACUUGGUGUUACUGCGAAGGGGGGACGGAGAAGGCUAUGUUGGCCGGGCGACGGUUGUCCCGGUUUAAGCAUGUAGGCGGAUGUUCCAGGUAAAUCCGGAACGUCAUUAACGCUGAGGUGUGAUGACGAGGCACUACGGUGCUGAAGUGACAAAUGCCCUGCUUCCAGGAAAAGCCUCUAAGCAUCAGGUAACAUCAAAUCGUACCCCAAACCGACACAGGUGGUCAGGUAGAGAAUACCAAGGCGCUUGAGAGAACUCGGGUGAAGGAACUAGGCAAAAUGGUGCCGUAACUUCGGGAGAAGGCACGCUGAUGGUAGGUGAAGUGACUUGCUCAUGGAGCUGAAAUCAGUCGAAGAUACCAGCUGGCUGCAACUGUUUAUUAAAAACACAGCACUGUGCAAACACGAAAGUGGACGUAUACGGUGUGACGCCUGCCCGGUGCCGGAAGGUUAAUUGAUGGGGUUAUCCUCGCGGAGAAGCUCUUGAUCGAAGCCCCGGUAAACGGCGGCCGUAACUAUAACGGUCCUAAGGUAGCGAAAUUCCUUGUCGGGUAAGUUCCGACCUGCACGAAUGGCGUAAUGAUGGCCAGGCUGUCUCCACCCGAGACUCAGUGAAAUUGAACUCGCUGUGAAGAUGCAGUGUACCCGCGGCAAGACGGAAAGACCCCGUGAACCUUUACUAUAGCUUGACACUGAACACUGGUCCUUGAUGUGUAGGAUAGGUGGGAGGCUUUGAAGUGUGGACGCCAGUCUGCAUGGAGCCAUCCUUGAAAUACCACCCUUUAAUGGCUGGUGUUCUAACGUGGGCCCGUAAUCCGGGUUGCGGACAGUGUCUGGUGGGUAGUUUGACUGGGGCGGUCUCCUCCUAAAGAGUAACGGAGGAGCACGAAGGUCAGCUAAUCCUGGUCGGACAUCAGGAGGUUAGUGCAAUGGCAUAAGCUGGCUUGACUGCGAGCGUGACGGCGCGAGCAGGUGCGAAAGCAGGUCAUAGUGAUCCGGUGGUUCUGAAUGGAAGGGCCAUCGCUCAACGGAUAAAAGGUACUCCGGGGAUAACAGGCUGAUACCGCCCAAGAGUUCAUAUCGACGGCGGUGUUUGGCACCUCGAUGUCGGCUCAUCACAUCCUGGGGCUGAAGUAGGUCCCAAGGGUAUGGCUGUUCGCCAUUUAAAGUGGUACGCGAGCUGGGUUUAGAACGUCGUGAGACAGUUCGGUCCCUAUCUGCCGUGGGCGCUGGAGAAUUGAGGGGGGCUGCUCCUAGUACGAGAGGACCGGAGUGGACGCAUCACUGGUGUUCGGGUUGUCAUGCCAAUGGCAUUGCCCGGUAGCUAAAUGCGGAAGAGAUAAGUGCUGAAAGCAUCUAAGCACGAAACUUGCCCCGAGAUGAGUUCUCCCUGACCCUUUAAGGGUCCUGAAGGAACGUUGAAGACGACGACGUUGAUAGGCCGGGUGUGUAAGCGCAGCGAUGCGUUGAGCUAACCGGUACUAAUGAACCGUGAGGCUUAACCUU